GAAGGUAUAGCUCAGUGGUAGAGUGUGUGCCCAGCAUGCAUGAGGUCCUAGGUUCAAUCCCUAGUACCACCA
rfam:Camelus ferus unplaced genomic scaffold scaffold603, whole genome shotgun sequence.